CUCCAUAUAACUUGUUGGAAGUAAACUAGCAGCAUCCGAUUAUAAUGGGACUAAACACAAUGCCAAUGAUCCAAAGCAACCAUUGAUACAAAAUUCAAUUAUUCUGAAGAGAAAGAUAAUCUACUUAGGCACAAUAAAAAUUCAAUAAUGAUCUACCUAGGAGCAUAAGACCUCAUACUGCUCCAAGGAAACUUUGCUGGUGCAGCGCCAACAUCACGACUUUCUCCACCACGAUCGCGGCCAACAUCUGAACGCUGUCCACUACGAUGGUCACGGCCACGACCAAAUCUCAUCUCUGACCGAUUCCUUCCAUCUUUCUUCUCGUCAAGCCAAUGCGUCUUCUUAGGUUCAUCAUCCUCAACAAUGCUAGACUUGGAUUUCUUGCUCAUAUUCUUCUUUUCCUCUUGGAUCACUCCGAUAGGGAAAAGGUCGGGCGAUAUAGAUAAUGGAUUCCUAAGAGUAACAUAAGCUUUUUUGUAGUCUGGUUUAGCAAUUAACAGCCCACCUCUCUUUUUCUUCUUUCCAUCCAUGUUAAGGGUUUGGACCUUUUCAACUUCAAAACCGUAGAGAGACUCCAAAACCCUUUUUAUCUCAAUCUUGGAAGCAGAGGGGAUGGUUUUGAGGGAGAUCUCAGUGAUGUUGGAGAAAGAGGAAGGCAUGAGAAGUUUAAUUGGAAGAUUUGCGAAGUUCACAACUCUUCUUCCCAAUCUACUCCCCAUCACAAUUAUACGAAUCACGUUUGUCAGUGAAAACUGUAUUCUCUAUUUCUUCAGCUGGAGAAGUCUGAGUUCAAAAAUCCAAUAUAUGUAGAAACACGCAACGAAAGCACAGAUCUGCAACUAUUCGCCCGAAAAUGCAGAGAAAUGAAGGAAGG
rnacentral:misc_RNA from 1 species